UAAAGUCUCCUUAAAAAGGGACCAAAACCGAGCUCUAGGUUAACCAAAGAAAAGACCAAAAAUUUCAGAAUUUCUCUCUAAGUUUCUCUUGGUAUUUCUUCACCUUGGAAGGCAACCAAAGGCUACUUUUUGAGUUCUUGAAUUAGACCUACACCUUGGGAGUUAAGGUAUGUAAAAAUAACCAUAUACUUGAUAUGAAUUUUCCAUGGAAAACAAGAUAAGUUGGCUGGUUCACUGUGCAGGAAUUUCUGGACAGCUUGUGUCCUGAAAGUUGUUGUUUGGUUUUCUUGGCUUUGGAACGAUUUUUACCCUGAUUUUUCACUUUAAUAUGAUGUAAAGUUGAGGUUAUUAACAUGUUAUAGUGUGUAUAUGGUUGCCAAGGUUGCUGGACUGUUUUGCUAGUUCUUUGGAAACAAGUAUCCUUAUAUGAUCUUAUGUGCUUCCAAACUGGUAUUGGACUGUUUUGUUGAGGGGGAUGUUGUUUCACGUUUCCCCUACGUUUUGAGCUAUUUUGUGACUAUGUUAAGGUUUAUUUGAUGUAUAUAUAUGUUGGGAGCAUCUGGUUCAAAGUUGGGACAAGUAUGAAUUGUUAACGACGAAAUGUAGGGAGACGACGAGAUGUUGUGCUUCUUAGUUGAGCGUUUUGUAAAAUGGUUAUGUGUUGUAGUUAUGGACUGUUGCCAGCAUGUUAUAGAACUAAUAUAGGCUGUAUACAUCAUGUAUAUGAUAAUCUAUGCUGGUUGAAUACAGUUAGAAUUGAGAAAGUCGGAAUAACACCAUUGAGUUGAUGGUUAUACGUUUGUUGCCAAAGUGUUGUGUCUUGUGAGAUUGGGCUGUCCAGAUGCAUUGAUUAGCUGCUAAUACUAGCUUUAAAACAUGAUAUUGUAGAUAAAUAGUUGGAAGAAAAGAAGUCAUUUCGACGUAAAAACAAGUUGAUAUGUCGAGGUAUGUAAGGCUAUUCGAUCUCUUAUUAUUUGGCAUGGAAUCCAAAGUCUUCAUUGGCACAUAGAGAUCUUUACAAACUUUGACAUAACCACUCCACUCUUUAACAUGUACUUGUGUGUCCAGAUUCGAGCAUUGUCACUGCUGCAUACAUACAUUGGGUACCAUGACAUAUGAGUCUUCUUUUUAGCUAAAUAAAGUUCAUACGUUGUUUAUGUCCUACAUGUUUCACUAAUUGUACAACCCACUCUUUUCAUUAUGAUAUGAUGUUACAUGGACACAUACUUGUCAUUUGUCAUGCUUAUAGUCUUAUAGCUCAAAUGUUACGACCACCAAAGAUUCAUCUCAAAAGUAAUAAGAAGAUAUAUGUAUACAGUUGCUUCUGUUGGGUGGUAUCCCAGGGGUGAAAGAAUCACCUAGCAUGGGUCAAUCCCAGUAUUACAGGGGGUAUCCCAGGGGUGAAAGGAAAGCCUAGCAUGGGUCGAUCCUGAUAUAGAAUUACCACUGAUCAGCUGGUCAUUUGUAUUACAUGCUGUGCACAGAUUAUUCAAGUAAUAAGAGUAAAGUAACAUAAUUGUUAUAAGAUACAUGACUCCACAAUAUUCAUAAAGGUGGUCUUUUACCCUACAGCAGUACAUGGUUUCAUUUGAGUUUUUAUCUCAUAUAUAGUACAUGUUGCCUUACAUAUUCAGUACAUUAUUUCGUACUGACGUCCCUCUUGGGGGACCUGCAUUCCAUGCUGCAGGUACAGAAGCUAAUAAACCUCCCUAGUAAGAGUACAGGAUAUCAACCGCAGUCACUGAGCUCCAGGUUGCUUCGGGGCUUUGAGUCUUAUCAUAUCUUUUUGCAUUGUAUAGUAUCUUAUCAUGAGGCGGGGCCUGUCCCGACCCUUAUAAGAUAACGUUUCUUGUCUAGAGGCUUUGUAGACUACGUAAAGUAUAGUAUGGUCAUGUAUCGUACCGUAGACAUUGUGGCUCCAACGGCCUAGUCAUAUAAUAUCUUUUGGCUUGCUAGUCCUAUUUAUCUUUUGAGGGCAUGUUUAGUAUGAAAGUAACUUAUAAUGUUCAUAGGUAAUGUAUCGCUACAGGUUGGUUCUCCCGAGCCUUACCGGCAACGGGUGCCAGUCCGCCUUAAUAGGAUUUGGGGCGUGACAAUACUGAUCCAACAGAUAACUCAUUUUGCAAAAGAUGAGUGAUCUAUUUUAGUAGAUAAGUGAUAUGUUUUUAUUAUUUCUAAUGGAUUACUUAUUUUCUGCAACAGGUUGGUUAUAGGUUGCAACAGAUAAACUACAUGGUGCAACAGAUGAGUGAUCUAUUUUUAUUAUUUUCAAAGGAUUGCUCAUCUGCUGUAACAGGUAGGUUAUAAGUUGCAACAGAAAACCUACUUGGUACAACCGAUGAGUGAUCUAUUUUUAUUAUUUUCAAAGGAUUGCUCAUCUGCUGUAACAGGUAGGUUAUAAGUUGCAACAGAAAACCUACUUGGUACAACCGAUGAGUGAUCUAUUUUUAUUAUUUUCAAAGGAUUGCUCAUCUGCUGUAACAGGUAGGUUAUAAGUUGCAACAGAAAACCUACUUGGUACAACCGAUGAGUGAUCUAUUUUUAUUAUUUUCAAAGGAUUGCUCAUCUGCUGUAACAGGUAGGUUAUAAGUUGCAACAGAAAACCUACUUGGUACAACCGAUGAGUGAUCUAUUUUUAUUAUUUUCAAAGGAUUGCUCAUCUGCUGUAACAGGUAGGUUAUAAGUUGCAACAGAAAACCUACUUGGUACAACCGAUGAGUGAUCUAUUUUUAUUAUUUUCAAAGGAUUGCUCAUCUGCUGUAACAGGUAGGUUAUAAGUUGCAACAGAAAACCUACUUGGUACAACCGAUGAGUGAUCUAUUUUUAUUAUUUUCAAAGGAUUGCUCAUCUGCUGUAACAGGUAGGUUAUAAGUUGCAACAGAAAACCUACUUGGUACAACCGAUGAGUGAUCUAUUUUUAUUAUUUUCAAAGGAUUGCUCAUCUGCUGUAACAGGUAGGUUAUAAGUUGCAACAGAAAACCUACUUGGUACAACCGAUGAGUGAUCUAUUUUUAUUAUUUUCAAAGGAUUGCUCAUCUGCUGUAACAGGUAGGUUAUAAGUUGCAACAGAAAACCUACUUGGUACAACCGAUGAGUGAUCUAUUUUUAUUAUUUUCAAAGGAUUGCUCAUCUGCUGUAACAGGUAGGUUAUAAGUUGCAACAGAAAACCUACUUGGUACAACCGAUGAGUGAUCUAUUUUUAUUAUUUUCAAAGGAUUGCUCAUCUGCUGUAACAGGUAGGUUAUAAGUUGCAACAGAAAACCUACUUGGUACAACCGAUGAGUGAUCUAUUUUUAUUAUUUUCAAAGGAUUGCUCAUCUGCUGUAACAGGUAGGUUAUAAGUUGCAACAGAAAACCUACUUGGUACAACCGAUGAGUGAUCUAUUUUUAUUAUUUUCAAAGGAUUGCUCAUCUGCUGUAACAGGUAGGUUAUAAGUUGCAACAGAAAACCUACUUGGUACAACCGAUGAGUGAUCUAUUUUUAUUAUUUUCAAAGGAUUGCUCAUCUGCUGUAACAGGUAGGUUAUAAGUUGCAACAGAAAACCUACUUGGUACAACCGAUGAGUGAUCUAUUUUUAUUAUUUUCAAAGGAUUGCUCAUCUGCUGUAACAGGUAGGUUAUAAGUUGCAACAGAAAACCUACUUGGUACAACCGAUGAGUGAUCUAUUUUUAUUAUUUUCAAAGGAUUGCUCAUCUGCUGUAACAGGUAGGUUAUAAGUUGCAACAGAAAACCUACUUGGUACAACCGAUGAGUGAUCUAUUUUUAUUAUUUUCAAAGGAUUGCUCAUCUGCUGUAACAGGUAGGUUAUAAGUUGCAACAGAAAACCUACUUGGUACAACCGAUGAGUGAUCUAUUUUUAUUAUUUUCAAAGGAUUGCUCAUCUGCUGUAACAGGUAGGUUAUAAGUUGCAACAGAAAACCUACUUGGUACAACCGAUGAGUGAUCUAUUUUUAUUAUUUUCAAAGGAUUGCUCAUCUGCUGUAACAGGUAGGUUAUAAGUUGCAACAGAAAACCUACUUGGUACAACCGAUGAGUGAUCUAUUUUUAUUAUUUUCAAAGGAUUGCUCAUCUGCUGUAACAGGUAGGUUAUAAGUUGCAACAGAAAACCUACUUGGUACAACCGAUGAGUGAUCUAUUUUUAUUAUUUUCAAAGGAUUGCUCAUCUGCUGUAACAGGUAGGUUAUAAGUUGCAACAGAAAACCUACUUGGUACAACCGAUGAGUGAUCUAUUUUUAUUAUUUUCAAAGGAUUGCUCAUCUGCUGUAACAGGUAGGUUAUAAGUUGCAACAGAAAACCUACUUGGUACAACCGAUGAGUGAUCUAUUUUUAUUAUUUUCAAAGGAUUGCUCAUCUGCUGUAACAGGUAGGUUAUAAGUUGCAACAGAAAACCUACUUGGUACAACCGAUGAGUGAUCUAUUUUUAUUAUUUUCAAAGGAUUGCUCAUCUGCUGUAACAGGUAGGUUAUAAGUUGCAACAGAAAACCUACUUGGUACAACCGAUGAGUGAUCUAUUUUUAUUAUUUUCAAAGGAUUGCUCAUCUGCUGUAACAGGUAGGUUAUAAGUUGCAACAGAAAACCUACUUGGUACAACCGAUGAGUGAUCUAUUUUUAUUAUUUUCAAAGGAUUGCUCAUCUGCUGUAACAGGUAGGUUAUAAGUUGCAACAGAAAACCUACUUGGUACAACCGAUGAGUGAUCUAUUUUUAUUAUUUUCAAAGGAUUGCUCAUCUGCUGUAACAGGUAGGUUAUAAGUUGCAACAGAAAACCUACUUGGUACAACCGAUGAGUGAUCUAUUUUUAUUAUUUUCAAAGGAUUGCUCAUCUGCUGUAACAGGUAGGUUAUAAGUUGCAACAGAAAACCUACUUGGUACAACCGAUGAGUGAUCUAUUUUUAUUAUUUUCAAAGGAUUGCUCAUCUGCUGUAACAGGUAGGUUAUAAGUUGCAACAGAAAACCUACUUGGUACAACCGAUGAGUGAUCUAUUUUUAUUAUUUUCAAAGGAUUGCUCAUCUGCUGUAACAGGUAGGUUAUAAGUUGCAACAGAAAACCUACUUGGUACAACCGAUGAGUGAUCUAUUUUUAUUAUUUUCAAAGGAUUGCUCAUCUGCUGUAACAGGUAGGUUAUAAGUUGCAACAGAAAACCUACUUGGUACAACCGAUGAGUGAUCUAUUUUUAUUAUUUUCAAAGGAUUGCUCAUCUGCUGUAACAGGUAGGUUAUAAGUUGCAACAGAAAACCUACUUGGUACAACCGAUGAGUGAUCUAUUUUUAUUAUUUUCAAAGGAUUGCUCAUCUGCUGUAACAGGUAGGUUAUAAGUUGCAACAGAAAACCUACUUGGUACAACCGAUGAGUGAUCUAUUUUUAUUAUUUUCAAAGGAUUGCUCAUCUGCUGUAACAGGUAGGUUAUAAGUUGCAACAGAAAACCUACUUGGUACAACCGAUGAGUGAUCUAUUUUUAUUAUUUUCAAAGGAUUGCUCAUCUGCUGUAACAGGUAGGUUAUAAGUUGCAACAGAAAACCUACUUGGUACAACCGAUGAGUGAUCUAUUUUUAUUAUUUUCAAAGGAUUGCUCAUCUGCUGUAACAGGUAGGUUAUAAGUUGCAACAGAAAACCUACUUGGUACAACCGAUGAGUGAUCUAUUUUUAUUAUUUUCAAAGGAUUGCUCAUCUGCUGUAACAGGUAGGUUAUAAGUUGCAACAGAAAACCUACUUGGUACAACCGAUGAGUGAUCUAUUUUUAUUAUUUUCAAAGGAUUGCUCAUCUGCUGUAACAGGUAGGUUAUAAGUUGCAACAGAAAACCUACUUGGUACAACCGAUGAGUGAUCUAUUUUUAUUAUUUUCAAAGGAUUGCUCAUCUGCUGUAACAGGUAGGUUAUAAGUUGCAACAGAAAACCUACUUGGUACAACCGAUGAGUGAUCUAUUUUUAUUAUUUUCAAAGGAUUGCUCAUCUGCUGUAACAGGUAGGUUAUAAGUUGCAACAGAAAACCUACUUGGUACAACCGAUGAGUGAUCUAUUUUUAUUAUUUUCAAAGGAUUGCUCAUCUGCUGUAACAGGUAGGUUAUAAGUUGCAACAGAAAACCUACUUGGUACAACCGAUGAGUGAUCUAUUUUUAUUAUUUUCAAAGGAUUGCUCAUCUGCUGUAACAGGUAGGUUAUAAGUUGCAACAGAAAACCUACUUGGUACAACCGAUGAGUGAUCUAUUUUUAUUAUUUUCAAAGGAUUGCUCAUCUGCUGUAACAGGUAGGUUAUAAGUUGCAACAGAAAACCUACUUGGUACAACCGAUGAGUGAUCUAUUUUUAUUAUUUUCAAAGGAUUGCUCAUCUGCUGUAACAGGUAGGUUAUAAGUUGCAACAGAAAACCUACUUGGUACAACCGAUGAGUGAUCUAUUUUUAUUAUUUUCAAAGGAUUGCUCAUCUGCUGUAACAGGUAGGUUAUAAGUUGCAACAGAAACAAUUCACGGCAAAAUUUUGGAAGUCCUUUCAAAGGAGUUUAGGGACGCGAGUGAAUUUGAGUACAGCCUUCCAUCCCCAAACAGACGGCCAAGCAGAGCAUACUAUUCAAACACUUGAGGAUAUUUUGUGAACCUGUGCAUUAGAUUUUAAAGGUAGCUGGGUAGAAGACUUGCCUCUUAUUGAAUUUGCCUAUAAUAACAGCUACCAUUCGAGCAUCAAGAUGGCACCUUACGAAGCUUUGUAUGGGAGGAAAUGUAGGUCACCAAUUGGUUGGUUCGAAGUGGGUGAAACCACCUUGCUCGGGCCAGAUUUAGUCCAACAAGCCAUGGAAAAAGUUAAGGUGAUACAACAACGGCUAAAAACAGCCCAAAGUCGUCAUAAAUCAUAUGCAGAUAUUCGGAGAAGAGGGCUGGAAUUCUCUAUUGGAGAUUGGGUAUUUUUAAAGGUAUCACCAAUGAAAGGGGUUAUGAGAUUUGGUAAAAAAGGGAAACUAAGCCCACGUUACAUAGGGCCAUAUAAGAUUACCAAGAGGGUUGGACAAGUUGCAUAUGAAUUAGAGCUACCCCAGGAACUUUCAAUGGUUCAUCCAGUGUUUCAUGUGUCAAUGCUUCGAAAAUGCAUAGGUGACCCCUCUCGUAUCACUCCUAUAGAAGAUGUACAGGUCACAGAGGAUCUUACUUAUGAAGAGGUACCGGUUGCUAUUCUAGAUCGCCAAGUUAAAAAGUUAAGGAACAAAGAAAUGGCAUCAGUAAAGGUACUUUGGAGAAAUCAACAAAGGGAAGAGAUUACAUGGGAAGCUGAGGAAGCAAUGAAAUCUAAGUAAGACAAGGAGGGACCAAAAGAUACAGAAGAGGAACAUUAAUAGGUAUGUGUUUGAAUACUAGUUAUGUUAUUAAAAGUUGUGUGACCAGAAAUUCAAACCUGCCUAGACUAUACAGCUAUGUUAACAUUCGGGACGAAUGUUCCUAAGGAGGGGAGGAUGUAACACCCCACAUUUUACCUGUACUAGUAAUGUUCACAUAAAAUGACAUACGACUUGAUUUAAUUACUACCAAAAUUUUUCAAGUGUUCAAGUGUUGGAUUGGGGCACUAUAUGGAAGUCUAUUUAGAGACUGUGGCCUUAAACGGAGAAAAUCAUUGACAUGCUUAUGGAACUUAGGAAGCUAGCAGGUGAGUCACCUGUGUGCUUAGCUUAAAAAUUAUAUAUACAUGAGGGAGAAGAAUUCAUUCAUAAGUGAACUCACUUGAAGUCUAGACGUUAGUAAAAAGAAAGGGGAACGAAGACAAGGCUUAACGCCGAAACUUUCCAAGUCUUGUGACAAACGAAGCCCAAGUUAGGGAGGCUAUUAAAGACAAUGGUUUAACAUUAUAUUGGGCCAAGAUGUUCAGCCCAAGAUUUUUAUAUAAUAGGCCCAACUACAUUCAUUCACUACUAACAAAAUUGAGCCCAAACAAAGUGCAAGAAAGAGUAAGGAAAUGGGCCACUAAAGCCCAUUGAUUUAGAGAUCCAAAAGGCCCAAGUGAAAGGGGAAAAUUAGUCAUUGACCAACUUGAGUUAAUCAGCUACAAAUAUUAGGAGAAAGUCGGUCUAAAGUCUCCUUAAAAAGGGACCAAAACCGAGCUCUAGGUUAACCAAAGAAAAGACCAAAAAAUUUCAGAAUUUCUCUCUAAGUUUCUCUUGGUAUUUCUUCACCUUGGAAGGCAACCAAAGGCUACUUUUUGAGUUCUUGAAUUAGACCUACACCUUGGGAGUUAAGGUAUGUAAAAAUAACCAUAUACUUGAUAUGAAUUUUCCAUGGAAAACAAGAUAAGUUGGCUGGUUCACUGUGCAGGAAUUUCUGGACAGCUUGUGUCCUGAAAGUUGUUGUUUGGUUUUCUUGGCUUUGGAACGAUUUUUACCCUGAUUUUUCACUUUAAUAUGAUGUAAAGUUGAGGUUAUUAACAUGUUAUAGUGUGUAUAUGGUUGCCAAGGUUGCUGGACUGUUUUGCUAGUUCUUUGGAAACAAGUAUCCUUAUAUGAUCUUAUGUGCUUCCAAACUGGUAUUGGACUGUUUUGUUGAGGGGGAUGUUGUUUCACGUUUCCCCUACGUUUUGAGCUAUUUUGUGACUAUGUUAAGGUUUAUUUGAUGUAUAUAUAUGUUGGGAGCAUCUGGUUCAAAGUUGGGACAAGUAUGAAUUGUUAACGACGAAAUGUAGGGAGACGACGAGAUGUUGUGCUUCUUAGUUGAGCGUUUUGUAAAAUGGUUAUGUGUUGUAGUUAUGGACUGUUGCCAGCAUGUUAUAGAACUAAUAUAGGCUGUAUACAUCAUGUAUAUGAUAAUCUAUGCUGGUUGAAUACAGUUAGAAUUGAGAAAGUCGGAAUAACACCAUUGAGUUGAUGGUUAUACGUUUGUUGCCAAAGUGUUGUGUCUUGUGAGAUUGGGCUGUCCAGAUGCAUUGAUUAGCUGCUAAUACUAGCUUUAAAACAUGAUAUUGUAGAUAAAUAGUUGGAAGAAAAGAAGUCAUUUCGACGUAAAAACAAGUUGAUAUGUCGAGGUAUGUAAGGCUAUUCGAUCUCUUAUUAUUUGGCAUGGAAUCCAAAGUCUUCAUUGGCACAUAGAGAUCUUUACAAACUUUGACAUAACCACUCCACUCUUUAACAUGUACUUGUGUGUCCAGAUUCGAGCAUUGUCACUGCUGCAUACAUACAUUGGGUACCAUGACAUAUGAGUCUUCUUUUUAGCUAAAUAAAGUUCAUACGUUGUUUAUGUCCUACAUGUUUCACUAAUUGUACAACCCACUCUUUUCAUUAUGAUAUGAUGUUACAUGGACACAUACUUGUCAUUUGUCAUGCUUAUAGUCUUAUAGCUCAAAUGUUACGACCACCAAAGAUUCAUCUCAAAAGUAAUAAGAAGAUAUAUGUAUACAGUUGCUUCUGUUGGGUGGUAUCCCAGGGGUGAAAGAAUCACCUAGCAUGGGUCAAUCCCAGUAUUACAGGGGGUAUCCCAGGGGUGAAAGGAAAGCCUAGCAUGGGUCGAUCCUGAUAUAGAAUUACCACUGAUCAGCUGGUCAUUUGUAUUACAUGCUGUGCACAGAUUAUUCAAGUAAUAAGAGUAAAGUAACAUAAUUGUUAUAAGAUACAUGACUCCACAAUAUUCAUAAAGGUGGUCUUUUACCCUACAGCAGUACAUGGUUUCAUUUGAGUUUUUAUCUCAUAUAUAGUACAUGUUGCCUUACAUAUUCAGUACAUUAUUUCGUACUGACGUCCCUCUUGGGGGACCUGCAUUCCAUGCUGCAGGUACAGAAGCUAAUAAACCUCCCUAGUAAGAGUACAGGAUAUCAACCGCAGUCACUGAGCUCCAGGUUGCUUCGGGGCUUUGAGUCUUAUCAUAUCUUUUUGCAUUGUAUAGUAUCUUAUCAUGAGGCGGGGCCUGUCCCGACCCUUAUAAGAUAAUGUUUCUUGUCUA
rnacentral:lncRNA from 1 species